CGGCCGUACGUUCGGCUAAUUGCACGGCCACGGCCCUCCCCCCCACGUGUGCAUCAUCUAUCUGUUCUCUCCUGUCUAUCUUCCAUUUCCUUCUCCCAUUCUGCAAGCUCUCUUCCAAAUCCAUGGUGACUCGAGUCCUCUGAUGGCUAACAGGAACGAUUGAUGACCAGGGGUUCGGGAUCAGCAGAUCUAGCCUCCUCCAUCAUGAUCUUCCAAGAGGGCCUCUCCAUACCUGCCGACGAGGUCGACGACGACGUGGCUGACGAGGCUUGCGCGUCCCCUACCCUCCGGCUCGCCGAAAAAUCUGGCUAUACCUGUCCCUGUACAAAGAGGAGAAAUCGGUGGUGACCGCCCUGGCAAUGCAGAGCUCCAUUGCAAUCUAUCGAGAGAGCUUCCUAGCUCACUGAGGAGGUCGACGAUGCCAUGACCGAUGAGAUCUCCAUGCCUCCAUACCUUGCAUAGGGGUGUGCCAAGGGUGGAGACGAGCCUGGCAGGGUGCUACGAGAGCUGCUCUGGGACACAAGGGUUGGCAUGGAGGGAAUUUGUGCUGCUCAUCACCACAUAUUCGUGUUGAUGCUGGUUGUGCUCCCGAUGUCAUUUCUGCAAGUUCACAAUUCAAUUGCCAUACAGUUUGGUCAUUUUUCCGAGCAAUAUGUCAACUGAGAAAAUAGGGAAAAAUAGUCAGUUGAGAUUGUAUGACAACCAGAUUGGAAUUUUACUUGGAUGGGGCUGUCAAGAAAUCCUUUUUUCUGAAUCUCACCUGUUGUGGGAGCUUUCAACACUUCUCUACAUCGAUCAAAUUGAAAUACAUUUUGUCUAUAUUCUAGUUUGCUUGUAAUUUUCAAACCUAUGCUUAUGAGCUUUAAAAAAGUUGAAUACAUGAGUGCUCUUUUUGUAAGAGAGGUAGGCGGUUUUCUGUCCGAUUGAUUAGUAUUUCAAUAAUGCUUGAUAGGCAUUUCAUUAAUGUCCUGGAAGCAUUUUUGAUAUAUCUUUUCAAGUAGUUUAGUUGUGCCAACUAUUGGUUGGUUUGGGGGUAGUUUUAAUUAUUUCUCUUGCACUGUUUAGCAACAGUAGUACAAGGCUCAAUGUUUGAUUAGUAGCCCAUCUGUCUCCAUAGCCAUGUCCUCUGCUCUCAUCUCGAUAUGUGUUCCCAACUUCUCAUAGCUUGCAGACCCAUGCUUUGGUUUGAUCUGCAGUUUCCAACUUAGCUGUAUGUGGGUUCGAUUGAUUUUGCUUGACCAAACUGGAAACAAUUUUGAAUUUGGUCUCUAUUAAGCUUGUUUGCGCAGUUCUUAGGGUCCCGAGUAUUCUGCAAAUCCAGUGAUAUCAUGUCGGUUUGUUUUCUGAUUCAGUUUAGCAGUUUGAUAGUAGCAUAUUGAUUUGCAACAUCUUAUUAUUGAAAUGCCAUUUUUCAUGUUUUGUAUAUGGUUUGCAAAAUUCAGUUGAAAAUGCUUUCUUUCCAUGUUCUAAUUCGCUCACAGUUUCUUAGAACUUUGCUUAUAUGGUUCCAAAAAGUUGCUUACUAUGCCUAGGAAAUUCACUGUAAUUAGUUAGGCAAAGUAAUAUUUCUAGUUAGGCAAUUUUUUGGCUACGGAACAAGCAAAACAAUGCAUAUACCUGUAGGCAAUUUUUAUGACAUUUUUAUUUUUGGAAUGCCUAUGUUGAUAAUUAGGAUACACAAGCUAGUUCUUCAGCUCAUCAAACUUAUGUUGCUACAUGCUAACUUGUGUAGUCCUAUUUUUUCUCAUUAUAUGGCAGGUCAUGAAAGAACUCAUAAGUUAUGCAAGUAUGAAGUACAGUAAUGUGCGUUUAUGAUAAUAUGAUUGUAGUUCUUUUUUUUAUGAGAUGCCUGCGCACACAGCACCAGGAGUCACGAAGGUUCAAUUUUGGUUCAAUUCUUGCCUGUGAUGUAGUUUUUUAUUCAAGGGAUGAGGGCAAAUCUAUUUCGUGUAAAUAGACUACUGUAAAUCAAAUUGCUAUGUAUGAUAUUUUGCAGUUCUGAAUCA